rnacentral:rRNA from 1 species
GUCCUUAGUUACCAGCACGUUAUGGUGGGCACUCUAAGGAGACUGCCGGUGACAAACCGGAGGAAGGUGGGGAUGACGUCAAGUCAUCAUGGCCCUUACGGCCUGGGCUACACACGUGCUACAAUGGUCGGUACAAAGGGUUGCCAAGCCGCGAGGUGGAGCUAAUACCCAUAAAACCGAUCGUAGUCCGGAUCGCAGUCUGCAACUCGACUGCGUGAAGUCGGAAUCGCUAGUAAUCGUGAAUCAGAAUGUCACGGUGAAUACGUUCCCGGGCCUU